ensembl:lncRNA
GCUGAUCCAUCUGGGGCAUUUACUUUGUCUUUCUUGUGAUAAAUUGUCGGGACAUAUGCAGUUCCUGCUAAGGGUCAAGAAAGUGCCAAUCCCAAGUUCCAUGCCUGCCUACUGAGUUAAGCCAACCCAGGGACCCCUACAUUGCACUCUGCUACCAUUUUCUGUAGUGUUUUCUGUAGUGAGUUUAUACAGGGUAUCACCUAUAUACAUAAACCUAUCUACACCUGUGUUGUAAAACCUCAAGACACAAUAUAUGGUCCAUGGAUGAGCAGUAUCAGCACUGCCCAGGACUUAGACACAGAAUGUGAAGCCCCACCCAGACCCACUGAAACAGAUCUGCCUUGUAGGAGAACCCCAAGAAAUUCACACACAUGAUAGACUAGGAAGCACCACGUAUCUGAGAGCACAAAACAAAAUUAGGUAAAAGCAUGUUGUUUUCUUAUGAAGAAAUCCACGCAGAGUUUUUAAGGACAACCAAAGCCCAUCAUUAUUUUCUCUGCCCAAGACCACUUCAAGAAUCUUGCGGAAGAGAGAAUAAAGGCAGAAAUGAGGAUACAGAAAGCAUGUCGCUUGAAGGUCAAGAAGUCAAGCUUAAAUGCCAAUGGUAAAGUGGUAAGCCUACUGGUUUUGAUCUUGGGCGUGGAAUGAGUUUACCAGACUUCAACUCUGAAGACAGUUCUAGAAGGACCUAGACUUGCGACAGAAAGUGUAUUCCAAGUAGAAUGAGAAGUUUGGGUAAUGUAUGCCACAAGACAUUGGUCAUUUGCAGAGUGGAGGUCAUCAUUAAGUGCUUGGCUCUCAACUACCCUUGAUUAUCCCAACUAGUCAGGAACUCAGCUACCAGAGAUAUGGAAGUUUCCAACCCUAACCCCAAUGGCAGCCACACGUUUAAAUCCAGCAGACAGGUGUUGUAAGCCCUUUCCCUCACCAACUAUAACCUGAGUCUUCCAUCCUAGACUGAAUGCAUUACCUAAUCUGCAAUACUUUGUAUUUUCAAUUAUGUUUAUGCCUGAAACAGGAGUAGGUAAGAUCAAAGGCUUGAUUUGGUGGCUGGAAUGUAAAGUAAGUAGUCAUUGAGCCUGUUGGAGGAAAAGACAUCUAAUUUGGAAGUAAUGAGUGUGAUGAACGAACACAGCUGUAGAGAGUCGAUUCUAGGUGAGGAUGGGGUUGGCUUGGUUAUUUUGCUAUGGAGCCUUGGAAGUUCUGUUUUUUUGGCUUGCAGAUUUAUAGAAGUUCUAGUCUAAGAUGCAACAUGGGAGAUACAAUUUCAUGCCAUGACUGACAUUGGCCUCCCAUGAGUUAGAGAAGUGUGUGUUUAAGAGGAUAAUCUGAUUUUGGAAAAUAAUAUUCAAACGCCAUCAUGUUUUCAUGUUGACCCCUCUCCACACUGGCUCAGCGCUCUGUUAUUAAAAACAAUUUCCUGCCGAACACGACGGCUCGCGACUGUCAUCCCAGCACUUUGGGAGGCUGCAGUGAGCGGAUCACCUGAGGUUGGGAGUUCGAGACCAGCCCGAACAACAUAGAGAAACCCCAUCACUACUAAAAAUACAAAAAUUAGUCGGGUAUGGUGGGGCAUGCCUGUAAUCCCAGCUACUCAAGAGGCUGAGGCAGGAGAGUCACUUGAACCCGGGAGGCAGGGGUUGUGGUGAGCCAAGAUCACGCCAUUGCACUCCAGCCUGGGCGACAAGAGCAAAACUCUAUCUUAAGAAAAAAAUCAAUUUCCUGCUGAUAUCAAUGACGUUAAACCACUAAAAUACAUGUAAAGGCCGGGCGCGGUGGCUCAAGCCUGUAAUCCCAGCACUUUAGGAGGCCGAGACGGGUGGAUCACGAGGUCAGGAGAUCGAGACCAUCCUGGCGAACACCGUGAAACCCCGUCUCUACUAAAAAAUACAAAAAACUAGCUGGGCGAGGUGGCGGGCGCCUGUAGUCCCAGCUACUCGGGAAGCUGAGGCAGGAGAAUGGCAUAAACCCGGGAGGCGGAGCUUGCAGUGAGCUGAGAUCCGGCCACUGCACUCCAGCCCGGGCUACAGAG